rnacentral:rRNA from 1 species
GCUGGUAGCUAUUGCGAAAGUGUUAUACCCGAUCCCAUUUCGAACUCGGAAGUCAAGCCUUUCAGCGCCGAUGGUACUUUGUCUUAAGAUAUGGAAGAGUAGGUCGUUGCCAGCA